UAAUACGGAGGAUGCAAGCGUUGUUCGGAAUCACUGGGCUUAAAGCGCAUGUAGGCGGAGCAGUGUGUGUCUUGUGAAAGCCCCCGGCUCAACCGGGGAAUUGCUUGGCAAACUGCUGCUCUUGAGGCAGGUAGAGGUGACUGGAACCUUUGGUGGAGAGGUGAAAUUCGUAGAUAUCAAAGGGAACGCCGGUGGCGAAAGCGGGUCGCUGGGCCUGUCCUGACGCUGAGAUGCGAAAGCGUAGGGAGCGAACGGGAUUAGAUACCCCGGUAGUCUACGCCGUAAACGAUGCGCACUAGGUACGAGAGCCUCUGACGGUCUUCGUGCCGGAGCAAAAGUGUUAAGUGCGCCGCCUGGGGAGUACGGCCGCAAGGCUA
rnacentral:rRNA from 1 species